CCGGUGACGGAUGGGCAUGCGUGACAUUAGCUAGUCGGCGGGGUAACGGCCCACCGAGGCGACGAUGUCUAGGGGUUCUGAGAGGAAGGUCCCCCACACUGGUACUGAGACACGGACCAGACUCCUACGGGAGGCAGCAGUGAGGAAUAUUGGUCAAUGGGCUUACGCCUGAACCAGCCAAGUCGCGUGAGGGAAGACUGCCCUAUGGGUUGUAAACCUCUUUUGUCAGGGAGCAACGCCGGCUACGUGUAGCCGGACUGAGAGUACCUGAAGAAAAAGCAUCGGCUAACUCCGUGCCAGCAGCCGCGGUAAUACGGAGGAUGCGAGCGUUAUCCGGAUUUAUUGGGUUUAAAGGGUGCGUAGGCGGAAUGCCAAGUCAGCGGUAAAAUCGCGGGGCUCAACCUCGCUCCGCCGUUGAAACUGGCGUUCUUGAGUGGGCGAGAAGUAUGCGGAAUGCGUGGUGUAGCGGUGAAAUGCAUAGAUAUCACGCAGAACUCCGAUUGCGAAGGCAGCAUACCGGCGCCCAACUGACGCUGAAGCACGAAAGCGUGGGUAUCGAACAGGAUUAGAUACCCUGGUAGUCCACGCAGUAAACGAUGAAUACUAGCUGUUCGGGGCAAUUGGGCCUUGAGUGGC
rnacentral:rRNA from 1 species